UCGGUCCUGCUAGGGCACUUCUGGAAACACGUCGGCGGCUCAGAACUUCGGUCCGACUUUGAUCGUGGCCUUGAUAGCUCCGCGAGGUGCCCUGCCCUCUCUCCUCCUGCCCCUCUCCCGCCCACCCGGCCUCCGGGCGCGUUCGCCUCCCGCGCUGGGGUAGACCAGUUAAUCGGCUGCUCGGCUGCCGCCAAGACCCGGAGAGCGGAGCUGGGCUCAGGGCGCGCGGCGCGUGCUCGCGGGCUCGCUCCGGGAACUGGGCGUGCGCGGCGCGCGGCCGAUUCAGCGGGCGAGCCGGCGAGCGGGCGUGCAGCUCCAGACUUCCCCGGCAGCGGCGGCGGGCGAGGCAGUCUCGUCGAGUGCGAGGCCGGCGCUCAGCUCGCCCCGGGAGACCGGUUCUCCUCGGCCGGGCGCCGACGGCGGCCCGCGGCUCGCAGAGGACUGGGAGGGAGCGGUCCGGGUCGGGGGCUUUCUCCCGCCGCCUCCCGCCGGGUGAGGGCUCGAGGAGCCUCCGGGGAAGCGCGGCCCGGAGGGCGGAUUCGAGGUAAAGAGAGUAUGAUGGAAAAACUGAGCAGAAUUCAUUUAUUCACUAUUGGACCAUUUCACCUGCUUCCUUUCACAGAGAAUACUGGAGGUGAGAUUUUGAGGCAGUCUGUUUACAGUAUUAUUCUGUUCCCCUGUGUCCUGUCUUUCUUCCAUAUGUUGCACCAUAGAUGCCUUAAGGUUGUCCUCCAGUUACCUAAGACAUAUCUCCGUGACUAUCUUCUCUACCCUCGUGAACUAGUGAAAUAUAUUAUUCAAGUUAUGUCUGGCUGGUGUAAUUUAUAGAUAAAGUGCUGAGAUUUGGAAAUUUAAAAAAUUUAAAAAUUUAAAUGGGGCAAUUUAAAUGUUAAAUAUAAAUAGAAACUUUUGCUUGCCACCACCCUUCACAACCCUCCUUUCAAUGAAAAGAAGACCUAUAGUAUUUGCCAGUGAGAGAUCAGGAGCCAACCAAAGUGCCUAUCUGGCAGUGACUUAUUUUGUAUCAUAAUUAUUUAAGAAAAAUAAAUUAAGAAAAAGUAGCUUGAAAGUAAAAGUGAAGUCACUCAGUCAUGUCCGACUCUUUGCGACCCCAUGGACUGUAGCCUGCCAGGCUCCUCCUCCGUCCAUGGGAUUCUCCAGGCAAGAAUACUGGAGUGGGUUGCCAUUUCCUUCUCCAGGAGGUCUUCCCGACCCAGGGAUUGAACCCAGGUCUUCCACAUUGUAGGCAGACGUUUUACCGUCUGAGCCACCAGGGAAGUCCUUGUGAGUAAUCAAAAUAAGAAUAUUAAAAUAUUAUAUAUAUAUAUAUAUAUAUAUAUGAGAAAUUUAGAGUUUGUGUAGUUCAGCAUUCUUAUUUUACUGACGAAGAAAGUAAAACCAAGAUGUGUCAAGUGAUUUGUCCUAAGUCACGCAACUAGUUUAUUGCAGAAUUUACUAAUAUCUAAGCAUUCUAAGCCUUCAUAUAACUGUCAUGAGCCUGAUGCUCUAUUGAAUUUGUCAGGAAAUUGAAAAUUCAUUUAUUCAAAAUAUUUGUCAGCUAUCUUCAAAAAAAAAAAAAAACUAGAUAUAGUUCUAGGCACUGAUGAUACAGAUGCUAAUAAGGUGGCUCUCCCUGGUUGCACCUAAAUCGUGGAGUGAGGGAGGCAUUGAAAAUUAUGAAAAUGAUAUAAUGAUGUCUAUCUACUCAGUCACAGGUAUAAUACUUGGCCUAUAUUAAAAAUCUCUUCAUUAAAGUCUGAGAACAAACUUGCUUAGCUUUUUUUCCCAAUCCCAGAACAAAUAGGAAGAAAAAAAAAUAGAUGACGAUGAGGUUCUAGAAAGGUUUAUAAACAGUAAUGUGAAGCUGAUAAGCUGGGGAGAAAGAGAAAAAAAAUUAAUUAAUUUAUGCAUAUUAUAUACUAUAUAUACUAUAUGGUAAUAUAUUAUAUCAGGCAGAAGAACCCAAACUCAUUGCGGACUAGGAAAUGACUAUAGUCCUGAGCAGAGCAUCAGUGGGCUGAGUGUCCUUUGGGCUGCAGAAGAAUGGUAUCAUCACAUGGGGGAAUGAGAGUUUUCUAUUGUUUUCUCCACUCAAUGCUGAAGGAAAUCAACCUUGAAUAUUCACUGGAAGAACUCUUGCUGAAGCUGAAGCUCCAUUACUUUGGCCGCCUGAUGCAAAGAGCCAACUCAUUGAAAAAGACCAUGAUGCUGGAAAAGAUUGAAGGCAAAAGAAUGGGGCGGCAAAGGAUGAGAUGAUUAGAUAGCAUCACUGACUCAGUGGUCAUGAAUUUGAGCAAACUCUGGGAGGUAGUGAAAGACAGGGAAGCCUGGUGUGCUGCAGUUCUGGGGGGGCGGUGGUCACAAAGAGUCAGACAUCGCACGACAACAACCAUUGUUUUCUCCCCACAACGAGUACCUGGUUUUGACAGUCACCCAUGGACAGUAGUGCCCUUGUGGAAGUCUGGUAGUCCAGCAGAGAAGUUCAGCAUACUGUUGUGGGGGUGAAAAUGUCUGAGAUUGCAUGCAGCGAAGAGGGCAACAGGAACAGUUGUGGUUUACUUGCAUCACCCUUUCCCCAAGGUGGCACAGCCGAAUGCCAGUAGGGACCUUCCUGACCGAUGCUUUCUUCCACAGGGGAAGCUGAGAGUGUUUGAGCACCUCAGUGCCUCAUCCGUUCACAGCUCCAUACUCUACCCUUCGGCCAGCUCUCUGUGUGCACCCCUGAAGCAAAGACAUCUAACCUUUGCAGACAUUGGUGAGCACAAAUGGAAAGCCAACUGGACUCUCCAGGACUGGGAGAGACCACAUGAACUUGAGCAUUCAAGACUGCCCCAGGGAAAGCAAAAUGGGAGGCUCUCAUCAUUUGACCUGGCUUUGCAGGAUCCACAGAAGGCAUACAGUCUUAAGAAUUCACUCACAAAUAAGUGACACACAAAAAUUAGCUCUCAGUACUGUCACAGUAAGUGUGGAACAGGUGAAUCCAUAGAAAAGAUUUGAAAAAGCCUCCAAAUUCCUAGCAAGGCUCUGGAAGGUGUUUUUCUCCUAAAAGCAGUGUGUUAAAGACUGGAGUAGGUGACUGCUUCUUCAAAUGCAAAGACAGCAAUGCAAGACUCUUAAGGAACAUGAAAAAUCAAAGAAAAUGACACUAUGUAGGAACACAGUAAUUUUGCAGUAACUAACACCCCUCCCCAAGAAAAGAGAGUUACAAUUGUUCCCAGUAAAAGAAUUCAAAAUAGUAAUUUUAAGGAAGCUUAGGGACCUACAAGAAAACACAGGCAGUUCAAUGAAAUUUAAAAAAAAAUCAAUAUAUGAACAAAAUCAAAUGUUAAACAGAAAAACAGGAAUCAAAAAAAAAAAAAAAAGAACCAAAUUGAAAUUCUGGAGCUGAAGAAUAUGAUGAAUGAAAUGAAAAAAAUGCAAGAGAGAGCAUCAGUGUCUGACUGGAUCAAGCAGAAGAAAAAAUCUGUGAAGCAGAAGGUAGGUCAUUUCAAAUUAUCCAGUCAGAGGAGUUCAAAAGAAUGACAAAGAAUGAAGAAAGCCUAUGUGAGCUAUGAAAUACCUUUAGGAGAAACAACUAUAUAUUAUUGAAGUCCCAGAGGGAGAAGGGAGAAGAAAGCUUAUUUAAAGAAAUAAUGGAUGAGAAUUUUCUAAAUAUGGGGAGAAAGUUGGGCAUCUAAACUUAUGAAGCUCAUAAUUUCCCCCCAGAUUUCAACCCCAAAUGAUUUACUACAAGACACAUUAUAAUAAAACAGUCUAAAAUCAAAGGCAAAGAGAAUUUUAAGAGCAACAUGAGAAAAACCUUCUUUAAGGACAAGGAAAGCCCCACAAAGCUAUCAGUGGGUUUCUCAGCAGAAACAGUGAAGGCCAGGAGAGAGUGAGAUGCUAUAUUCAAAGUGAUGAAAGAAAAAACUGCCAACCAGGACUAUUUUAUCCAGUAAAGUUGUCCUUCAGAAAUGGAGAUACAGCGGAGCGUUGGGCGGGCGGCGGCCGGGCGGCCCAGGGCAUGCCUCGAUUCGGGCGCAGCCGAGCGGCUGCAGGGGUGGGCGGGCCGGAGGAGCCGCGGGGCCCGGGCGCCUGGGUUCGAGGCCGGGCCCCGCUGGGAGGCCGCCACCUGGGAGCUGCCCGCGGCGAGUUUGCCCGGCAGCCGAAAGAAGGCGGAGCCGGCGGGGCCCUC
ensembl:lncRNA